CAGGUAGGAGCUGGACCACACUUUGGGGCUGCCCCCCAGGUACCAGCUGGACCACAUUUGGGGGCAUCCCCCCAGGUGGCAGCUGGACCACAUUUGGGGGCAUCGCCCCAGGAGGAAGCUGCGCUCCCUGUCUCUGGACACCUCUUACCCAUGGCUGGGCAGAGGCCUGAGGUCCCACAAAGGUGACAGUGGGGACAGAGACAAGGUGCAGUGGCACCUCCACUGCUCUGCUGUUGUUGGAAUUCAUCACAGCAGUGUCCGGUGGAGUCAAAAAGGAUACAAAUAAAGCAGCGUCAAGUGUCGGAAUCUCCGUCACCA